CCUACGGGCGGCUGCAGUGGGGAAUUUUGGACAAUGGGCGCAAGCCUGAUCCAGCAAUGCCGCGUGCAGGAUGAAGGCCUUCGGGUUGUAAACUGCUUUUGUACGGAACGAAACGGUGAGCUUUAAUACAGUUUGCUAAUGACGGUACCGUAAGAAUAAGCACCGGCUAACUACGUGCCAGCAGCCGCGGUAAUACGUAGGGUGCGAGCGGGCGUCGGAAUUACUGGGGGGAUAACAUAAGACGGCGGUGAAAUCCCCGGGCUCAACCUGGGACCUGCAUUUGUGACUGGAUAGCUAGAGUACGGUAGAGGGGGAUGGAAUGCCGCGUGUAGCAGUGAAAUGCGUAGAUAUGCGGAGGAACACCGAUGGCGAAGGCAAUCCCCUGGACCUGUACUGACGCUCAUGCACGAAAGCGUGGGGAGCAAACAGGAUUAGAUACCCCGGUAGUC
rnacentral:rRNA from 1 species